rnacentral:lncRNA from 1 species
UUUGUAACAGACUUGAUCUAAUAUAUGAAAAAUUUUACAUGGGGGAUAUUUAAGGUGCAUUCAAUUAGAAGAAUUCAUCCUCCAAUCCAACUUUCUUUAGGGAAACAAAAAACCUAAAAACAAUAACAACAACAAAAAAACACUGAGCUGCCAGGUUCUUGGUAAAUUUUUUUCAAGAGUGUUAAAUGCAAACAUCUUUGCUUGAUAUUCAUCUUUGGCAAUGACAAUUUCAUCACAUAGACAACAUGAAUAAAAGAUAUUAUUCUCAGUCAUUAGCAACUCAGUCAGGGAAAAGAGAAAAAUUGGACAUUUAAGAAUGCUUUACUUUUCUGUCAUUUCAGACUAAAUGCCACUCUUAAAUGAUGGCUAGUCAAACCUACAGAAUCUAUUAGUAACUUGAAAACAAGUGCGAAGGGAUGCCAAAACCCCAAGGAAUCUUAAACUUGCAUUUGUCAGGCUUGUCACAUCAUUGCUACUGGUAAUAAAAGCAUUUUUGUUUUAUGUUGCAAUGUCUAUGGAGAAUAAUAUUUUCAUGGUCCAGAGUAAAAAGUGAUAUUGCAGCAUUCAUCACCUAUUUUGAAAUAAAAUAGCCUAAAAAGGUGGAAAAUUGACAUUCAUUAUUUUAGGGCUAAUUUAAAAAGCUGAUGCAUUUAUGGACAUUUUCCUGGUUGCUCUUUAUAAAGUUCAAGUGUUCAGUAGUCAUUCAAUUUUCAGAAGCAUGUCCUUACAUGGUUUUCAUGAAUUUUGUUGAGUUCUCAGAAGUAAAUGCUUGGUUUUAAUGAUGGUAGUGAUACCCAACCAAAUUUACCCGUGUACUUAUUUUCCUAUAAUCACUCCACUGCUGGUUCUGUCACAUUCAAAGACCAACUAAAGAAAGAAUUGUCAUUUUUCAAGUUCUCUAAGAUUUACCCAGAGUCCAAACUUCCACUCCUUUCUUUCUUUCUUUUUCUCUCUUCCAGGUCUCAGAAGCACUGAUCUGAUGAAAGAAAACUCAAUUUGGGAGUCCAAAAAGAGAGCAGACUCUAAGGGUUUCAGUGUGAUGCUGUCCCAUCUUGGUGAGUGCAGAGCUCUACAUCUGGAAAAACAAACCUCAGUGUCUCUGAAAAGGGACAAACACAUCUAUGGGUUGCAUGUACUCCUAGGAUGUAGAGGAACUGAAGACAAAACAACACUGCUCCUAAAGGACUUUGGAGGAGCUACGUGGGCUGGAUGGAUCAGGCUCAGCAUCUGUUGUUAAGCUUCAGUGAAAAUGGCUGCUUGAGCUGGAGUGCUCAAAAGGCUCGUUGAAGUCCUGAGUAGCCCUGUCCAGGGUGGCUUGCUCACUUGGGCAGUGUGUUGGUGUUGGCGACCAUCUGAAAGGCUCGAUUAUUCUUCACCUGGUCUUUCUGUAACGCUCUUUAAGUG